GAUGAACGCUGGCGGCGUGCUUAACACAUGCAAGUCGAACGGAAAGGCUCCUGCUUGCAGGGGUACUCGAGUGGCGAACGGGUGAGUAACACGUGGGUGAUCUGCCCUGCACUUCGGGAUAAGCCUGGGAAACUGGGUCUAAUACCGGAUAGGACCACAUUUUGGAUGGUGUGGUGGAAAGUUUUUCGGUGUGGGAUGAGCUCGCGGCCUAUCAGCUUGUUGGUGGGGUAAUGGCCUACCAAGGCGUCGACGGGUAGCCGGCCUGAGAGGGUGUACGGCCACAGUGGGAAGGAGAUACGGCCCAGACUCCUAGGGGAGGCAGAGGGGGGGAAUAUGGAAAAAGGGGCGCAAGCCUGAUGCGGCGACGCCGGGGGGGGGAUGGCGGCCUUCGGGUGUUAAACUCCUUUCGCGGGGGAAGAAGGGAAAGGGGGGGUACGUGGAAAAGAAGCCCCGGCAAACUACGUC
rnacentral:rRNA from 1 species